CAGUAGCCACGGUAAUACGGAGGGGGCCAGCGUUGUUCGGAAUUACUGGGCGUAAAGCGCACGUAGGCAGACAUUUAAGUCAAGGGUGAAAUCCCAGAGCUCAGCUCUGGAACUGCCUUUGAUACUGGGUGUCUGGAGUAUGGAAGAGGUAAGUGGAAUUCCGAGUGUAGAGGUGAAAUGCGUAGAUAUCGGAAGGAACACCUGUGGCGAAAGCGGCUCACUGGACCAUAACUGACGCUGAGGCGCGAAAGCUAGGGGAGCAAACAGGAUUAGAUACCCCUGUAGUCCCUGUCUCUUAUAC
rnacentral:rRNA from 1 species